rnacentral:rRNA from 1 species
UAAGGAAUAUUGGUCAAUGGAGGCAACUCUGAACCAGCCAUGCCGCGUGCAGGAAGAAGGCCCUAUGGGUCGUAAACUGCUUUUGAACAAGAGAAAACCCCCGGUACGUGUACUGGGUUGAUAGUAUUGUUAGAAUAAGCAUCGGCUAACUUCGUGCCAGCAGCCGCGGUAAGACGAAGGAUGCAAGCGUUAUCCGGAUUCAUUGGGUUUAAAGGGUGCGUAGGCGGACUGAUAAGUCAGUGGUGAAAUCUCUCGGCUUAACCGAGAAACUGCCAUUGAUACUGUUAGUCUAGAGUACAGAUGAUGUGGGCGGAAUAUGACAUGUAGUGGUGAAAUACUUAGAUAUGUCAUAGAACACCGAUUGCGAAGGCAGCUAACGAAACUAUAACUGACGCUGAGGCACGAAAGUGCGGGGAUCAAACAGGAUUAGAUACCCUCGUAGUCCCUGAGCGGGCUGGCAAGGCGCAU